rnacentral:rRNA from 1 species
GACGAACGCUGGCGGCGUGCUUAACACAUGCAAGUCGAACGGAAAGGCCCUGCUUUUGUGGGGUGCUCGAGUGGCGAACGGGUGAGUAACACGUGAGUAACCUGCCCUUGACUUUGGGAUAACUUCAGGAAACUGGGGCUAAUACCGGAUAGGAGCUCCUGCUGCAUGGUGGGGGUUGGAAAGUUUGGGCGGUUGGGGAUGGACUCGCGGCUUAGCAGCUUGUUGGUGGGGUAGUGGCUUACCAAGGCUUUGACGGGUAGCCUGCCUGAGAGGGUGACCGGCCACAUUGGGACUGAGAUACGGCCCAGACUCCUACGGGAGGCAGCAGUGGGGAAUAUUGCACAAUGGGCGGAAGCCUGAUGCAGCAACGCCGCGUGCGGGAUGACGGCCUUCGGGUUGUAGACCGCUUUCGCCUGUGACGAAGCGUGAGUGACGGUAAUGUGUAAAGAAGCACCGGCUAACUACGUG